CGAAUCUUUCAGAGUUCAUCGUUUAGACCAAGGUGAAAGCUGAAACAGAUUGUUUUGGUUGGACUCGAUAGUUGCCAGAAACACGAAGAAUUUGAUUUUCUAUUUUUACGAGUUUAGAAUUUUAGACUUAUGUUAUUUUAGACUUCCGCUGUAGACAUGUGAUUUUGAUGGUUGAUUUUAGAGUAAAUCGUAUUUUUUU